rnacentral:misc_RNA from 1 species
UUUCCUGUCAGUCCGAGCACUGCAUGAGGUCAUAACGUUUCUCAACUCAGCUCACACUGACGCGGUGCGGGUGUUGUUGUGUGGUUGUGCGUGUGCGUGUGCGUGUGCCGCUGAAUGAUGCACUCAUCUGUGUUGGUCCAAACAGUUUGACUGGCGCAUGAGAAGAUACACAUGCAAAUCACCUUUCGGCUGACGUGCGUGGCACGGGCGCGUGUACGGGCUGCUGUCGGCUGUCCAGCCGCGUGUGCGUGGUGGCCCUGAUGGAGAAACAAUUCUUGUGCGCGAGCGAGGCUAUGAGCGCACAUUUUGAGCCAAGAAAACAAAACUCAACAGGUCUGAGACGCUGCCACUGCGUGGCGGCGCCGCCGCCGGGCCGCACGCUGCGACGUGCGUGAACGGAGUGCAUUGAGUCCUACCGCUCCCCACCAGUGAGCGGGUGGGAGCAUCAACUCUCCUAGAUGCGGCGCGACGGGGUGCCGCGCCGCUUGCCUUCUCACCGCUACCCCCUGCCACUUCGCCGCUGCGCGAGGCGCAUGCGCGUGAUGAAUACUAUUCACAUAGUUUCCUGUCAGUCCGAGCACUGCAUGAGGUCAUAGCAUUUCUCAACUCAGCUCACACUGACGCGGUGCUGUCGGGUGCGGAGGGCUUGCGUGCAUGCUUGUGGGUGAAGGGGCGAUAGCGAUGGCGCGGGCGGCAGCUUCAUCUUGACCUGUCUGGCACCUGUCUUUACACCUGUCAGUGACAGAGCACGCCCGAAAGUUCAAGAAAGACAAAGACAGCGAGAGCGAAGGCGCUUCGCGAGCUCUGCCGCGACGGCACCGCGUUGUCACUGCCGUCGUGUGCGCGCGUGCGUCCGCGUGGGGUGUCUCUGCCGCACACCCUCUCUUCUAGGCCGCCGCACAACUCCCUUGGAAUGGUGGGUGCCCCAUCCCACGCAACUCCCUGUCCUGUUGUGCCAG